rnacentral:lncRNA from 1 species
UUCCGCCUCUCGCACCCCCCUUCAUUCCUCCGGCCCUGCCCCCCCUUCAUUCCUCCUCUCAGCCUAGGGUGACCAGACAGCAAAUGUGAAAAAUCUGGAUGGUGGUGGGGGGUAAUAGGAGCCUAUAUAAGAAAAAGACCCAAAAAUCAGGACUCUCCCUAUAAAAUCGGGACAUCUGGUCACCCUAUCUCAGCCCCACUCAACCCUCCGUUCACACUCCCUUCUUUUGCCUCCAGAGCAUGGACGAGAUUCCUGCCCGCGCACUGCCGCCUUGGGUGUGUCUGUCACUCUAGCGAGGUUCCUCUACCUCCCUCUUCCCUGGCCGCAUGGAUCCGCUUCCUGCUUCUUCUCUGCCUCUCAGGAAAUAAAUACAGAGUACCCCACAUCAUGAGGCCAUUGUUGGGAGCCCUCCCUGGCCCCGCAACUCUGCUCCGCACCCCCAGCAGCUCGUUUGCUUCCUGGGAACACCUGGAGCCUCUCUGAGUCAGGGGACUGGGAGCAUAUCCCGACGCCUGUAGCCAGAGAUUCCCAAGGCCUGCUCUAUGCCUGUUGGACACUAUACCUGUAGCUGGGGAACUCCUGGGCUGUAGAACACCAAGAAUUCCAAGCCUGGCAGCACACAGUCGUAACCAGGUGGUUGCAAGUCUAGAGGGCUCUGUCUGCCUGUAGCCAGAGAACUGACCACUCUCUGCAUGUAGCUGGAGAAAUACAGUCCCUGCUAUAUACCUGUUACUAGAGAACUCCAGGACCGCUGUACACCUGUAGCUGGAGAACUCCAGGACCAUUGUAUGACUGUAGCUGGAGAACGCCAGGACCACUGUAUGCCUGUAGCCAGAGAACCCUGGGAUGGCUGUACACCUGUAGCCAAGAACUCCAGGACCACUCUACACCUGUAGUUACAGAACAUAGGACUUGCCUGUCACAAAAGACCCCUGAACUUAUUGUAUGCCUGUAGCUGGAGAAAUCAAGGACUGUUGCACACCUGUAGCCAGAGAACUCUCAGCCCCCAUCUGCCUGUAAAAUACAGAGACUCCCAGGUCACAGCAUGGCAGUGCAGAACCAGAACCAAGUCAUUGCAGAUUUGGAGGCCACUGUCUGCCUGUAACACGUGGACUCCAGGACCAUACUACAUCUGUGACCAGAGAACUCCAGGAGCCAUGUACAGGUAUAAUCAGACAGCCUCCAUACCCCAGUAGCUACAGAAUUUCAGGCUGUAGGGCACCAUACAACCAUAGCCAGAUUACUGUAGGUGUUGAAGCAACCAUACGCCUGUAGCCAAAGAUGUCUGGGACUGCUGUAUGACUGACCCCCACUUUACACAUGUGGGUGGAGAAGUCUGGUCUUUUGUACCACUGUAACACUGCCGUACGCCUGUAGGGGACAACUCCAGGAUGUCUGUAUAAUAUCUAUCUAUCCCCGUACACCCCAUCUGUAUAUCCAUUGAAUGGUUGUAGGUGGAGAUGUCUGGGAUUUGUGUAUGACU